rnacentral:tRNA from 1 species
UGCCCCAUGGCUGAGUUGGUUACAGCGUCCGACUGUUAAGUUCACCCAGAGUGACUGAUCAUCGGAAGGUCGUGAGUUCGAGCCUCACUGGGGCAG